UGCAGGGAGUGUAUUGAGUGGUGGAGGAAGUGUCCCUGCACCUAAGGCCUCUGCUCAGGUUUGGACCAAUAUGGUAGAUGAGAUUCAAAAGGGUUCUCUUUCGACCCGCCUUGGUAUUCCCAUGAUUUAUGGAAUCGAUGCCGUUCAUGGUCACAACAAUGUCUAUGGGGCUACAAUCUUUCCUCACAAUGUUGGGCUUGGUGUUACCUCUUGGUAUUCCCAUGAUUUAUGGAAUUGAUGCCGUUCAUGGUCACAACAAUGUCUAUGGGGCUACAAUCUUUCCUCACAAUGUUGGGCUUGGUGUUACCAGGCAAGUAUUACAUACACUAUAAAACAAUGUUUGGAAUGAAUCUGCUUUCCUUAGGACUAUAGUGUAUCACAAUUUAAAGUAUUGGUUGGUAGUGUUAAGGAUAUCAAUAGAGAUUCUAUUCAUGAUAGAUGAUUUUCUACUUGUUAAUCAUUUGAAAUCUAAAUGUCAAACUGUGCUCUUUCCCUUAAAGUUAGGAUCUUUUCUUUACUUUCUCCGC
rnacentral:lncRNA from 1 species